rnacentral:lncRNA from 1 species
UCCAUUGUUCUUUUUUUCCUCUUUUUUUGUCACAUUUUUCAUCCUUAUUUAAGGCAUUAACUUUUAGCACUCUUCUCUUAUUGCUUUUUGAAUGCGCGGAAAGGGGGAAAGCCCUUCGUUCAUGGUUCUUCUAUAGUUGAAUCCUCCGAUAUGGACUAGAAAUGAAGAUGACAUUAGUAAAGAAGCCAUUAGUGUAUAGUUUUUGUGACUNNNNN